ensembl:lncRNA
UGUUUCAACCAGAACCUGUUUCUACUCCCGAACCUGUUUCUACUCCCGAACCUGUUUCUACUGCCUCACCCGAUAUAGAAUAGUCUGACAAGACAGAUUCUCCUGCCGCAUCCAUUAUGGUCCAAAUGGAGCAGAUGUGUAUUGCAUCACAUACCUGAAGAAUCCAAUAACUGUAAAAGUCAUUAAAGUGUAUGAACAUCCAAAAGCUAGAGCCAAAAGUUUUCAAUCAGUUGUUACUCUUCCAGUGGAGAGUAUUUGAUAGUAACUGAAAUGUAUGUUAUGAUAAGUUAUGAUCACUAAUUACACUGUAGGAGAAUUAGAUUUUCUGUUUUUAUUGCAGUUUUACCCUACAGGAGAACAUCGUUCAUUUUUAAAAAUACACAUUAAAGGAG